rnacentral:rRNA from 1 species
GAUGAACGCUGGCGGCGUGCUUAACACAUGCAAGUCGAACGGAAAGGCCAGUGCUUGCACUGGUACUCGAGUGGCGAACGGGUGAGUAACACGUGGGUGAUCUGCCCAGCACUUCGGGAUAAGCCUGGGAAACUGGGUCUAAUACCGGAUAGGACAAUGGUUUGGAUGCCGUUGUGGAAAGUUUUUUCGGUGUGGGAUGAGCUCGCGGCCUAUCAGCUUGUUGGUGGGGUAAUGGCCUACCAAGGCGUCGACGGGUAGCCGGCCUGAGAGGGUGUACGGCCACAUUGGGACGGAGAUACGGCCCAGACUCCUACGGGAGGCAGCAGUGGGGAAUAUUGCACAAUGGGCGCAAGCCUGAUGCAGCGACGCCGCGUGGGGGAUGACGGCCUUCGGGUUGUAAACUCCUUUCGCUAGGGACGAAGCGUAUUUGUGACGGUACCUGGAGAAGAAGCACCGGCUAACUACGUG